GUAGCAACAAAGGCUUCUACCAGAUGGAUUGCAAUCAUUAUUCCUCUCUAGAAGGAAAAAGAGUGGUAGAGAGUUCAGAAGUUGUAAGCACAAGUUCAGCACAACAGCUCAGUAAGUCUGAGAAGAGCAGGUGUGCGACAUAAACCUGAGCUACUAAAACAUGUAUUCUUACAAUGUCACUUAAAGCUUCAUGGUGUUAAGCUGAGGUUUAAUGCAUGGACUUGCCUAAACACACUGAGCGUUAAAGGGAAAGGAACCACAAGCAAAGCCAGUUAAAUAGACUAAAAAAACACACCGCACGAGUGUAACGAAGAGGAAACAUACCUUUCUGUCAACCAGGAAACAAAAAGGAAACCUGAGGUAAACAGAACAGACGAUAUACAGUACCUGGCGCGCGCUUGGGUGCUCGCUGCUUCCUCCUGGCCAUACUUGUAAAGGCAGAGUGCUCGGUCCUCACCAAUUCCACCACUUAUUUCAACCCCCUACAAGCUAGCGCUGUCUCUACAGCGCUAACGCACGUUCACCACGUUAAAAACGGAGCAGGUGGAAUGGUUUUGAGCUGCUGUUCUUUCUUCUUGUCGUCCGGUGAAACGAUAAGCGAGCAGGAAGGAGUCACGCGCUUCAGAGCGCGCUCCGGGCUCAUCACGUCACUCAAAAGUCCGCGAGCUAGAUUUCCCCCAGCAGCUGUCGGACACUCCCACGCCACGUUUCUGCUACAACAUGCUUGAUAUGAUCCCUUUAGUACACUGGUGAUUUGACUAAAACUCGAGGGCGUUUUAUCUUCAGCAUUCAUUGCAUUCAAUACCAAUGUUUUCUUCCCUUUAUUUACCUGAAUCUGCUAUCAUGAGAUUCCUGAUAUGAAUGGGAUUCCUGUUGUUUAGUGAGAGUCAGUUCUAUUUUUUCACUAUUCUUCUUCUGCACAAAAACCUUUCGUUAUUAAGUGAUAGUGAAGUGUUUCAGAAGUGAAGCCAGCUCUUUUGAUGCAGGAGGACAGUGUUUUUGGUUUUCUCCUAUA
ensembl:lncRNA